GUCGUCUUCUUCCUGGACACGGACUCCUGCACGGGCACGAGUUCUUCACUGUCCCGACCCAAAUCUUCGAUGGAUUUGAUCCGUUCUUGACCUCUCUCCCACGCCCUACCCUCUAUAUAUUCUGCCCUACUCGUCCUAGUCGGGUUUUCGCCAAAAUCUCCGUCUCCUGUGCCCUACAGAGCCGCCCCGAUCUCGUCGCCGGAGUCCGCCGCCCGAAGCUCCUGUCGCCGGUCUCUUUCGCCGCCGUCAGAGGGGGAGCACAAGGACGACCGCAACGACCGUGGUCCGGAGCUCAACUACCCUGCCGCCGCUCCAGCCGCUCGCCAUCGCUAUCCGAGGAUCUCCCAGCCACCGUCGACGUCGCCAAGAUCACCCCCGAGGAAGUCCGCACCCGUAGGCCAUCCCCUCUUCACCUCCGUGGCCGUCACCUGCAUCACCACCGAACAGCCCGCGUGUCGUUCUUCCCCAAGUCCGGCGGUCUUCUCCUGUUUCUCCGAUUGUCCGGAGUGUGAAGCGGAUCAGAAUUAAGCAUUAGAGUACUUCAACAUCGUUCAAGGCAAGUUUGCACUUUAAUUUUGCUCAUCCUAUAUUCUACUAUGCAAGUGUGGUUUUAUGUUAUGUUAUAUGUUUGGCUUGAUAUGUGUAUUCUGUGUUACCAUGUUUUGUUGUUGAUUGUGGUAUGUGAUGGUGUGAUCAACUUGCUAUGGUAGACGCGGGCAUGUGUUGAGUGAUCCAUGAAAGUGGUGAUUGUUUAUAGCCAUAGGCUCGGGAUCAUUAACCAGGUGAAUGUGUCACUGGCAGAGCGCUCUAUUGUCCCUAGAGAAUGCGCCAUUGACAGAGCUCACUUGAGGCGAGGUAUAGUUUUCAGAAUGUAAAUCAGGUGAAUGUGUCCUUGGUAGAGCGCUCUAUUGCUCCUAGAGAAUGUGCCACUGACAGAGCGCACUUGAGAGAUACUUCUGAAGUUCUUGUCAUGUUUAUUUAGAAUCUUUGGGUUAUCUUGGGUGAGUAAAUUAGAGACGGUUGUGAGUUCAAGUAGUGGAGGUAGGUGAAGUUCUUCUCCAAACUAACUUGUGUGUUUUGUUUGUCAUACAUUGCUUUGUGGAUGUAGGUUUGCUAUAUCAUAUUGUGCGAUUUGCCAAU